rnacentral:rRNA from 1 species
UACGAAGGGGGCUAGCGUUGCUCGGAAUUACUGGGCGUAAAGGGCGCGUAGGCGGAUAGUUUAGUCAGAGGUGAAAGCCCAGGGCUCAACCCUGGAAUUGCCUUUGAUACUGGCUAUCUUGAGUUCGGGAGAGGUGAGUGGAACUCCGAGUGUAGAGGUGAAAUUCGUAGAUAUUCGGAAGAACACCAGUGGCGAAAGGCGACUCACUGGCCCGAUACUGACGCUGAGGCGCGAAAGCGUGGGGAGCAAACAGG